UACAGAGGUGGCAAGCGUUGUUCGGAAUUACUGGGCGUAAAGGGCGCGUAGGCGGUCUUGCAAGUCCCGUGUGAAAUCCCUCGGCUCAACUGAGGAACUGCACGGGAAACUGCUUGGCUUGAGUUCGGGAGAGGGAAGCGGAAUUCCUGGUGUAGCGGUGAAAUGCGUAGAGAUCAGGAAGAACACCGGUGGCGAAGGCGCUCUGCUAGGCCGCAACUGACACUGAGGGACGAAAGCUAGGGGAGCGAAUGGG
rnacentral:rRNA from 1 species